rnacentral:rRNA from 1 species
GAUGAACGCUGACAGAAUGCUUAACACAUGCAAGUCAACUUGAAUUUGGGUUUUUAACUUAGGUUUGGGUGGCGGACGGGUGAGUAACGCGUAAAGAACUUGCCUCACAGCUAGGAACAACAUUUGGAAACGAAUGCUAAUACCUAAUAUUAUGAUAAUAGGGCAUCCUAUAAUUAUGAAAGCUAUAAGCGCUGUGAGAGAGCUUUGCGUCCCAUUAGCUAGUUGGAGAGGUAACGGCUCACCAAGGCGAUGAUGGGUAGCCGGCCUGAGAGGGUGAUCGGCCACAAGGGGAAUGAGACACGGCCCUUACUCCUACGGGAGGCAGCAGUGGGGAAUAUUGGACAAUGGACCGAGAGUCUGAUCCAGCAAUUCUGUGUGCACGAUGAAGUUUUUCGGAAUGUAAAGUGCUUUCAGUUGGGAAGAAACAAAUGACGGUACCAACAGAAGAAGUGACGGCUAAAUACGUG